GCUUCUUUUGCUGUGCAGAAGCUCUUUAGUUUAAUUAGAUCCCAUUUGUCAAUUUUGGCUUUUGUUGCCAUUGCUUUUGGUGUUUUAGUCAUGAAGUCUUUGCCCAUGGAAAAAAACAAACAACCCCAUCAAAAAGUGGGCGAAGGAUAUGAAUAGACACUUCUCAAAAGAAGACAUUUAUGUGGCCAACAAACUAUGAAAAAAGCUCAUCAUCACUGCUCAUUAGAGAAAUGCAAAUGAAAACCACAAUGAGAUAUUUCUGUAUGUUUCCUUCUAAAAACUUUAUAGUUUUAACUUUAUUUUUGGUCUAUGAUCUGCUCAAAAUAAGUAAAGUUUUAUUGAAACACAGCCACACUCAUUUGUUUACGUAUUGUCAAUGGCUGCUUUCCCCCUAUAAUAGCAGAGUUGACAAGCUGCAACAGAGACCCGUGUGACCCACAAAGCCAACAAUAUUUCCUAAAUGGCCUUUUACAUAAAAAGUUGGCUGAUCCAUGUUCUAGGGAUUGAGCAGGGACAGGGUUGGUUAGACACAAAAGGAGAUAGAAAAAAUAAACUAGCGAGUGAUACAUGUCAGAUGGUGAUAGAUGCAAUGGAGAAGGAUGAAGCAAGGGAAAAGGGAUACCAAGAGCAGCUGCAAAGGCUGUGGGGGGUCAUUAGGUAGUUUAGGGUUCAAGAGGACCUCUCCAAAAUGGUGGCUUGGGAUUGAAGGGAGUGAUUCAUGAGGGCAUUUUAGAGAAGCACAUUGGGAACUGCAAAGACCCCAAGCUCUAAGAGAAAAGGGUCCUCAGAUUUGAGAAACAGUAAGCGGCCACUGUGACAGAAGAGAACGUGGGGUACAGGGAGAGUGGAAGGAGCUGAGGUCAUAGAGGAGAGGAGAAGGGGAGGAGGGGCUGAGUAGGCAUGUUUGAGGCCAUUUUUUUCUCUGACAUGGGGAAUCUCUAGAAGAUUUGGGGCCAGGAGUGGUGGCUCAUGCCUUAAAUCCCAGCACUUUGGGAGGCUGAGGCAGGAGGAUCACUUCAGCCUAGGAGUUCAAGAUCAGCCUGGACAAUAUAGGGAGACCCUGCCUUUACAAACAAUUUAAAAAUUUAGAAAAAAAUUAAAAAAAUUUGCUGGGUGUGGUGGUGUUGCACCUGUAGUCUCAGCUAUUUGUGAGGCUGGGCUGGGAGGAUCGCCUGAGCCUGGAAAAUCUAGGUUACAGGGAGCUUUGAUAGCACCACUACACUCCAGCCUGGGUGACAGAAUGAGAUCCUAUCUCAAAAAGGAAAAAAUAAAAGAUCAUUGUAGAACUUAAGACUUGUACGUUUUCAAUGUUCUAGUUAGCAUAAUAAUAUUAAUAUGUUAGGCCCUGUUAUACUGCACAGUUGCCUCUGAUGAAUUUACUGAUUAUUUUUUAAACACUACAGGAAAGAACUAUUUUAACCUCGACGUACUUCUAUU
rnacentral:lncRNA from 1 species